rnacentral:lncRNA from 1 species
UGGAAACCAUCCUUCCAGUCAUCCAAAUCCAUGGAAAAUGUUUGUAAAGGAUCCUUUGGGUUUCGGCAUUAAUGAAAUCAGUGGGACCCUCAUCACCAUGGGGCCAAGAAAGAAUGCAUUAUCUACAUCGCUAAGUGGAAUCAAAACAUGAUCUCUAGGCACCUACAAGAAGAGCGAGGGAAAGAAUAUUGAGAAAUGUCACAAAAGGGUCGGAUUAGAUCUAAAGCAUCAAAAUAAGGCGGUGAUGUACAGUACCUUUGGGAUGGCGGUAGAGGUAGCCAUUAGAGCGAUGAGACACUUUGACAACCGAUGGGCUUGAUGAUGGUUUCGGAAGUGGAGCUCUGGUUCUGAUAUGCGGUGGUGGAAAGCUUGCUUGGCUUUGUAAAGAAGAUGAAGGGACGGGGCAGUUCUAUAAUAUUUUAGUCCAGUAAAAUCCUAAAAAUCGAGGGCGGUGCCAUCGCAAAAUCCAGAGGAAAGAGAUCAUGAUUGUGGCAACGACUCUUUUGAUUUUGGAAGGGUAUCGGCUCGGGACCUGUGAAGGUGUUGACAAGAGAUGAGAAUUUUGGAAUAUAAUAUUAUAUUCCAAAAUUGGGGGGCAUGUGUUGACAACGGUUUUUGACCAGAGUCAACCAUCGUGGAUAAGGUUCAGAUAGCCGAUGAAGGAGAGAGAGAGAGAGACCGUCGAUGACUCCAGGUUGACCAAGACUAGCCAUGGGGGACCAGGGUUCCAGAAGCCGAUAGAAGACCGGAGGAGGUCCGAUCCGAAGCAAAAUUGACUCCACCAAAUAAGGGAAAGUGUGCAGAUUUAUCUUUAGUAGUUUUUAAGAAUAGUUGUAACAGUCAUGUUGUAAUCGACUAGGUAUCUAGUUUUC